AAGAAAGCCUCAGUGUACCAAUUCCCUUCUUCACAUUAGCAAGAGUCCAAAAGCUGCAAAGGCCAGUCUAGUUCAGAUUUCUCUUCUUACCUGGUUGGUUUUCUGCAGCCUGAAGAAGAGGAAUCUCACACUACAGAUUUAGUACCUCUCACGUGGAGAAAGGUUUUUUAUUGAGGUCUCUUGAGUACAGAAUUUUGCCUGCUGAGAAAGCAUGUAACCCUGAUUGACUAAAGAGUGGAGCUGCACACAGACAUCACUCAUUCCUUCUUAACUCCUUGCAGCCUUUUUGAGAAUUGCUGCACUUCAAAAGCCUGUGUACC